rnacentral:rRNA from 1 species
CCUACGGGAGGCAGCAGUAGGGAAUCUUUCACAAUGGGCGAAAGCCUGAUGGAGCAACGCCGCGUGCAGGAUGAAGGCCUUCGGGUUGUAAACUGCUUUUAUAAGCGAGAAAUAUGAUGGUAACUUAUGAAUAAGGAUCGGCUAACUACGUGCCAGCAGCCGCGGUCAUACGUAGGAUCCGAGCAUUAUCCGGAGUGACUGGGUGUAAAGAGUUGCGUAGGUGGCAUAAUAAGUAGCUAGCGAAAUCUGGUGGCUCAACCAUUCAGACUAUUAGCUAAACUGUUAAGCUCGAGACCGUUAGGGGUAACUGUAAUUUCUAGUGUAGGAGUGAAAUCCGUAGAUAUUAGAAGGAACACCAAUAGCGUAGGCAGGUUGCUGGGACGGUUCUGACACUAAGGCACGAAAGCGUAGGGAGCAAACGGGAUUAGAUACCCUAGUAGUC